rnacentral:lncRNA from 1 species
UUGUAUAUAAAGCCAUGUAUAUGACAUUCAAAAAUAUGAAUGAAAUUAUUCAAGUUUCUUACUCUUUCCACAGUUAUGAUGGUAAAUAUGGAUACUCUUUUCUCUUCAGUUCCAACAAAGAAGACACCUUCACAUUUUUAUCAGAUCUGACAAAUUCUCAAGCUGUCAAAAAUGUGGUUAACUGGGACAAAGAAACUGAGAAUCAUUUCCUGUCUUGUAGUGCAGGCAAUGAAAUAAUUGAAAAAGAGGAAACAGCAUAUUGACCAACCAACCUCAUCUGGCUUCUUUGCAGCUAUCAGUGCAUUUGUAAGACCACGUAGAACUUCAAAAUCAAUAGUUCCGG